GAUGAACGCUGGCGGCAUGCCUAAUACAUGCAAGUCGAACGAGAGGAAGGAAAGCUUGCUUUUCUGAAUCUAGUGGCGAACGGGUGAGUAACACGUAGGUAACCUGCCCAUGUGCCCGGGAUAACUUCUGGAAACGGAUGCUAAAACCGGAUAGGUAGCAGACAAGCAUUUGACUGCUAUUAAAUUGGCUAUGGCCAUGAACAUGGAUGGACCUGCGGCGCAUUAGGUAGUUGGUGAGGUAACGGCCCACCAAGGCGACGAUGCAUGGCCGGCCUGAGAGGGCGGACGGCCACAUUGGGACUGAGACACGGCCCAAACUCCUACGGGAGGCAGCAGUAGGGAAUUUUCGUCAAUGGGGGGAACCCUGAACGAGCAAUGCCGCGUGAGUGAGGAAGGUCUUCGGAUCGUAAAGCUCUGUUGUAAGAGAAAAACGACAUUCAUAGGGAAUGAUGAGUGAGUGAUGGUAUCUUACCAGAAAGUCACGGCUAACUUCGUGCCAGCAGCCGCCGUAAUAC
rnacentral:rRNA from 1 species